GGCACUUCUCGGGUGACACACCGUGAAAUCGGGCUCCCUCCUCUCUGGUUCCAGGUGCGUCACCCGAGAACCACA
rfam:Myotis lucifugus cont2.22462, whole genome shotgun sequence.